rnacentral:rRNA from 1 species
UGGGGAAUAUUGCACAAUGGGCGCCAGCCUGAUGCAGCCACGCCGCGUGAACGAUGAAGGUCUUCGGAUCGUAAAGUUCUUUUGCAGGGGAAGAUAAUGACGGUACCCUGUGAGGAAGCCCCGGCUAACUACGUGCCAGCAGCCGCGGUAAUACGUAGGGGGCUAGCGUUAUCCGGAUUUACUGGGCGUAAAGGGUGCGUAGGUGGUCUUUCAAGUCGGUGGUUAAAGGCUACGGCUCAACCGUAGUUAGCCUCCGAAACUGGAAGACUUGAGUGCAGGAGAGGAAAGUGGAAUUCCCAGUGUAGCGGUGAAAUGCGUAGAUAUUGGGAGGAACACCAGUAGCGAAGGCGGCUUUCUGGACUGCAACUGACACUGAGGGACGAAGGCGUGGGUAGCAAACAGG